rnacentral:rRNA from 1 species
GGUGGUUUGUCGCGUCGUCUGUGAAAUCCCGGGGCUUAACUUCGGGCGUGCAGGCGAUACGGGCAUAACUAGAGUGCUGUAGGGGAGACUGGAAUUCCUGGUGUAGCGGUGAAAUGCGCAGAUAUCAGGAGGAACACCGAUGGCGAAGGCAGGUCUCUGGGCAGUUACUGACGCUGAGGAGCGAAAGCAUGGGUAGCGAACAGGAUUAGAUACCCUGGUAGUCCAUGCCGUAAACGGUGGGCGCUAGGUGUGGGGGUUUUAUUUACGAUUCCCGUGCCGUAGCUAACGCAUUAAGCGCCCCGCCUGGGGAGUACGGCCGCAAGGCUAAAACUCAAAGGAAUUGACGGGGGCCCGCACAAGCGGCGGAGCAUGUGGAUUAAUUCGAUGCAACGCGAAGAACCUUACCUGGGCUUGACAUACACCGGAUCGCUGCAGAGAUGUAGUUUCCCUUGUGGCUGGUGUACAGGUGGUGCAUGGUUGUCGUCAGCUCGUGUCGUGAGAUGUUGGGUUAAGUCCCGCAACGAGCGCAACCCUUGUCUUGUGUUGCCAGCACGUUAUGGUGGGGACUCGCGAGAGACUGCCGGGGUUAACUCGGAGGAAGGUGGGGAUGACGUCAAAUCAUCAUGCCCCUUAUGUCCAGGGCUUCACACAUGCUACAAUGGUCGGUACAGUGGGUUGCGAUACCGUGAGGUGGAGCUAAUCCCUUAAAGCCGGUCUCAGUUCGGAUUGGAGUCUGCAACUCGACUCCAUGAAGUCGGAGUCGCUAGU